GCCGCUCCUCACGUUCAAACAGAUUGCAAAAGUUUACAGGGGAGAACCCUAACUUGUUCCCUAGACGUCAGUUUCUGGAGUUCAUGCAUUAAUACGAUUAAAAAGAACAGCUGAUUCUUAUCCAGCCCUUACUCUGGGCCGGGCCCUGUUAUCGGCAUGAAAUUUCAUGCAACAACUCGUUUACUCCUCACAACAGCCCACGAGGUAUAUACGAGCAUCACCUCCUUUUUACAGGUUGCCCCGGGCUUCUGAGGAGGAGUCAGUGGGCUCAGCAUGGAAAGGAAGGAAGCCGGAAGGAAUUGCGAGGAAGAUGCAGCGAGGCUGGAAAGGUUGGGGAU
rnacentral:lncRNA from 1 species